GGCAACAUUCAUAUCAUGUUGAAACUACCAAUUCCCGUCUGAUCAUUGAAGUUAAGCACGGUUAGUACUUGGAUGAUCGCUUGGAAACAUCGUGUGAUAUUGUCU
rfam:Acromyrmex echinatior unplaced genomic scaffold scaffold7, whole genome shotgun sequence.